rnacentral:rRNA from 1 species
UUUGUUUGCGCAGGAUAGGUGGGAGGCGAUGAAAAUUUUCUUGCGGGAAGAUUGGAGCCGUUGGUGAGAUACCACUCUAACAAUGCUAGGAUUCUAACCCUACACCGUUAUCCGGUUAGGGGACAGUUUCAGGUGGUCAGUUUGACUGGGGCGGUCGCCUCCCAAAAGGUAACGGAGGCGUGCAAAGGUUUCCUCAGGCUGGUCGGAAAUCAGUCGUAGAGUGUAAAGGCAUAAGGAAGCUUGAUUGUGAGACCUACAAGUCGAACAAAGACGAAAGUCGGCCUUAGUGAUCCGACGGUCCCGAGUGGAAGGGCCGUCGCUCAACGGAUAAAAGUUACUCUAGGGAUAACAGGCUGAA